rnacentral:rRNA from 1 species
UAGGGAAUCUUCCGCAAUGGGCGAAAGCUUGACGGAGCAACGCCGCGUGAGUGAUGAAGGUCUUCGGAUCGUAAAACUCUGUUAUUAGGGAAGAACAAAUGUGUAAGUAACUAUGCACGUCUUGACGGUACCUAAUCAGAAAGCCACGGCUAACUACGUGCCAGCAGCCGCGGUAAUACGUAGGUGGCAAGCGCUAUCCGGAAUUAUUGGGCGUAAAGCGCGCGUAGGCGGUUUUUUAAGUCUGAUGUGAAAGCCCACGGCUCAACCGUGGAGGGUCAUUGGAAACUGGAAAACUUGAGUGCAGAAGAGGAAAGUGGAAUUCCAUGUGUAGCGGUGAAAUGCGCAGAGAUAUGGAGGAACACCAGUGGCGAAGGCGACUUUCUGGUCUGUAACUGACGCUGAUGUGCGAAAGCGUGGGGAUCAAACAGG